GACGAACGCUGGCGGCGUGCCUAAUACAUGCAAGUAGAACGCUGAAGGAGGAGCUUGCUUCUCUGGAUGAGUUGCGAACGGGUGAGUAACGCGUAGGUAACCUGCCUGGUAGCGGGGGAUAACUAUAGGAAACGAUAGCUAAUACCGCAUAAUAGCAGUUGUUGCAUGACAACUGUUUGAAAGGUGCAAUUGCACCACUACCAGAUGGACCUGCGUUGUAUUAGCUAGUUGGUGGGGUAACGGCUCACCAAGGCGACGAUACAUAGCCGACCUGAGAGGGUGAUCGGCCACACUGGGACUGAGACACGGCCCAGACUCCUACGGGAGGCAGCAGUAGGGAAUCUUCGGCAAUGGACGGAAGUCUGACCGAGCAACGCCGCGUGAGUGAAGAAGGGUUUCGGAUCGUAAAGCUCUGUUGUAAGAGAAGAACGAGUGUGAGAGUGGAAAGUUCACACUGUGACGGUAUCUUACCAGAAAGGGACGGCUAACUACGUG
rnacentral:rRNA from 1 species